rnacentral:misc_RNA from 1 species
AACGCACAUUGCGCCCGCCGGCACUCCGGCGGGCAUGCCUGUCCGAGCGUCAUUUCAACCCUCAGGCCCACCCUUCCGGGGGAGCGGGCCUGGUGCUGGGGAUCGGCGGCCCUCGCGGCCCCCGUCCCUCAAAUACAGUGGCGGUCGCGCCGCAGCCUCCCCUGCGUAGUAGCACAACCUCGCACCGGAGAGCGGAACGACCACGCCGUGAAACACCCAAUUUUUUCAGGUUGACCUCGGAUCAGGUAGGAAUACCCGCUGAACUUAA